GUGUCUGGGAAUGGAGGGAAGCAGGACAGGAAGUGAAAUCUGGGUCACCAGCCCACCCAGCCUCCCCACUCCACCACCCACAUUCCCAGGCUUGCUCUGCCUGCCUCUGAACCGAGCCUCUUUGCAGACCACGGGGGUGGCCCAGGCCCCAUGCAGUGUCUGUCCCCAUCUAGGGGAGGAGCGGGGAACACAGGGCAGGAGGUCGAGCCAACUUCCCAGAAUAAGCCCCGCAGCUCUUCCCAAGCGAACAGAAUGCAGAGAAGCCAGCGUUCCCAAGUUCAAGGCCAAGGCAAGGCGGAGGUCCCUGCGGAGGGAACUUCCUCAGGCCAAGGACCAGCAAAAUCUGGAAGAAUCUGCCUGGAAGCUGAUUUCCCUGGUUUAUGUUCCAGAGGUCAGCUCUGUAUCCCCACUCUGAUCCCGAUACAACAAAACAGGAUGGAUGAAUUCCCUUGAUGUUCUAGGCACAGGCAAGUGUUUUCCACGGUGUGAACCUCUCUUUCCCAUGGACUUGAUCUCACAACCAUCGCCCUUUCAAAGACAAGUGGUUUAUGAAGCUAAUUCAUACUAAUACGUGAACAAGUGCCUGCUGACCUUCGCCUGCCCUGUGUAUCUGACUAUGAACUCCUGGAGCACAGGGACUGGUUUAUUCCUCUUCAUGGUUUCAGUGCCAGGUACAAGGCUUGGUUCAGAGUUGGUGUUGUGUGGAUCAUCAUAAAGAAGACAGCAAUAGCAAAAAUAAAUCAUAACAGCUAACAACUACUGGAUGUCUUCUAAAUGCCACAGAAUCAGGAAGUCCCCAAAUCCCAAUCAGAGUGAUUCGGGAGAGGACCAGAAGACGUCAACCAAAUCCCGAUCAGAGUGAUUUGGGAGAGGACCGGAAGAUGUCAACCAAAUCCUGAUCAGAGCGCUUCUGGAGAGGACCAAAAGGCGUCCAUGGAUGCAGUUUUCCUCCCUGCCUUCUCUCCUGCUCCCACCUGCCUGGUGAAAAUAUAGGGGCCCCUGGGACUCCCAGCUUCAGGGCGGGCCUGGAAAAGGCUCAGGGAAGCCAAGCCUUUGCUGGAGGGCAGGGAGGCUCACUUUGGGUUCACCUGAAGCCCCUAUUUUUCAGAGGUCCCCUGUCUGCCCUCCUCGUGGCUCACUCUGCACAGGUGUUCGUCUCUCCCAUCAGAUGGUGCGCUCCACAAGACCAGGAUCUGUAGUUCACCAGGGGCUCCCCAGGCAGGUACACAGGGCCUGGUGCUAUUUGCUCCAGGAGCUGGCCCUGGAGCCCAGUGACCCCCAGUUCCAGCUCCCUCAGCAGCCUCAAAGCGGGGAGGAAGGCCGUAACCAGGUUGGCCUUCACCUAGACUUCUCGUUGAAAGGGAAGCCCGCAGAGAAGGGACACAGCCGCAGGAUGCAGGUACCUGCAGAGGCUGCCACCAGCCGCUAACCACAGCCUCCACGCUCAUCUCCAUCACCUGGGUCCUGGCUCCCCUCCUCCAGGAAGCCCUCCCUGGUGCGCCCCACCCACACACCCUGUUAUACUGCUCGCUUGGGUUCCAGGAAGCUCGGGGCGGCCACAGCUCUGGGGAGAAGAUGGGAGAGCAAGACUCAGGCUUCUUCGGGGUUCAGAACUGGGCUUUCAGUUCCAGAUCAUGGUUUCCGUCCUCUUCUCCCCUCUUCUCACGAAGAGGCUCUCUCAGUCAUCCUUGCUUUUCUGUCUUUUUCUCCCUUCUUUUCUCCUCUUGCCUCAUUCCCUUCUUGCCUCAUUCCCUUCUUCCUUCCAUCUCCUCAUUUCCUUCCUUCACUCCAGCACUGUUUCAUGGAAGAUUCGAGGCCACUUUUGCCUUCAGCCCACCUCCAGACUGCUGGGCGUUGAGACCGGCCCGAGGUCUGCUCACUGGGUUGCGUAGCGCAGUGCCAGCCUUGGGCGCUGUGGGCCUUCCUCUGGGCUGAGUGUCGGGCGGCGUGACCUCGUGGUGACACCCAGCAACCCCACCCUCGCCACCCACCCUGCUGGGCCAGCGCUGGAAACAAGACACCGCCACCCCCUCCACCUUCCUUGCUCCAAGUGCAGGAAGGAGUCCGGGGGCCAAGGAAAGUGCCCUGGAGUAGGCGUCUCAAGACUGCAUUCCCUGAGUACGUGGCCCCAGCGGUAUCCCCAGACACAGCUUGCAUCCAGCAAAUGCUUGUUGAGCGACUGAAUGAAAACCACAGACUGAA